AAACUAGGGGGUGCUUCCAUCUGGAAGAAUCUGGAGACAGGUGCUGCAUGGCUGUCGUCAGCUCGUGUCGUGAGAUGUUGGGUUAAGUCCCGCAACGAGCGCAACCCUUGCCUUUAGUUGCCAGCAGUUCGGCUGGGCACUCUAAAGGGACUGCCGGUGUUAAACCGGAGGAAGGUGGGGAUGACGUCAAGUCCUCAUGGCCUUUAUGACCAGGGCUACACACGUACUACAAUGGCCGAUACAAAGGGCAGCGACACUGCGAGGUGAAGCCAAUCCCGUAAAAUCGGUCUCAGUCCGGAUUGGAGUCUGCAACUCGACUCCAUGAAGUUGGAAUCGCUAGUAAUCGUGAAUCAGAAUGUCACGGUGAAUACGUUCCCGGGCCUU
rnacentral:rRNA from 1 species